rnacentral:rRNA from 1 species
UUAUGGCUCAGGAUGAACGCUGGCGGCGUGCUUAACACAUGCAAGUCGAACGAAGCAUUGUGAAUGAUUCUUCGGAUUGAUUUCACUUUGACUUAGUGGCGGACGGGUGAGUAACGCGUGGGUAACCUGCCGUAUGCAGGGGGACAACAGUUAGAAAUGACUGCUAAUACCGCAUAACCCGCUAGUGCCGCAUGGCACAGACGGAAAAGAUUUUAUCGGCAUACGAUGGACCCGCGUCUGAUUAGCUAGUUGGUGAGGUAACGGCCCACCAAGGCGACGAUCAGUAGCCGAACUGAGAGGUUGACCGGCCACAUUGGGACUGAGACACGGCCCAGACUCCUACGGGAGGCAGCAGUGGGGAAUAUUGCACAAUGGGGGAAACCCUGAUGCAGCCAACGCCGCGUGAGUGAUGACGUAUUUCGGUAUGUAAAGCUCUAUCAGCAGGGAAGAAAAUGACGGUACCUGACUAAGAAGCCCCGGCUAACUACGUGCCAGCAGCGGC